rnacentral:rRNA from 1 species
CAUAUUUGCUGGAAUGCUUUAUGCGUCAAAAGGAUUCGUCUGCCCAAGGAUGGGUCUGCGGCCUAUCAGGUAGUAGUGGGUGUAAUGUACCUACUAGCCAGCGACGGGUACGGGUUGUGAGAGCAAGAGCCCGGAGAUGGAUUCUGAGACAUGAAUCCAGGCCCUACGGGGCGCAGCAGGCGCGAAAACUUUACAAUGCGGGAAACCGUGAUAAGGGGACACCGAGUGCCAGCAUCAUAUGCUGGCUGUCCGGAUGUGUAAAAUACAUCCGUUAGCAAGGGCCGGGCAAGACCGGUGCCAGCCGCCGCGGUAACACCGGCGGCCCGAGUGGUGAUCGUGAUUAUUGGGUCUAAAGGGUCCGUAGCCGGUUUGGUCAGUCCUCCGGGAAAUCUGAUAGCUCAACUAUUAGGCUUUCGGGGGAUACUGCCAGACUUGGAACCGGGAGAGGUAAGAGGUACUACAGGGGUAGGAGUGAAAUCUUGUAAUCCCUGUGGGACCACCUGUGGCGAAGGCGUCUUACCAGAACGGGUUCGACGGUGAGGGACGAAAGCUGGGGGCACGAACCGGAUUAGAUACCCGGGUAGUCCCAGCCGUAAACGAUGCUCGCUAGGUGUCAGGCAUGGCGCGACCGUGUCUGGUGCCGCAGGGAAGCCGUGAAGCGAGCCACCUGGGAAGUACGGCCGCAAGGCUGAAACUUAAAGGAAUUGGCGGGGGAGCACAACAACGGGUGGAGCCUGCGGUUUAAUUGGACUCAACGCCGGACAACUCACCGGGGGCGACAGCAAUAUGUAGGCCAAGCUGAAGACUUUGCCUGAAUCGCUGAGAGGAGGUGCAUGGCCGUCGCCAGUUCGUACUGUGAAGCAUCCUGUUAAGUCAGGCAACGAGCGAGACCCGUGCCCACUGUUACCAGCAUGUCCUCCGGGACGAUGGGUACUCUGUGGGGACCGCCGAUGUUAAAUCGGAAGAAGGUGCGGGCCACGGUAGGUCAGUAUGCCCCGAAUCUCCCGGGCUACACGCGGGCUACAAUGGAUGGGACAAUGGGUCCCUCCCCUGAAAAGGGCUGGUAAUCUCACAAACCCAUUCGUAGUUCGGAUCGAGGGCUGUAACUCGCCCUCGUGAAGCUGGAAUCCGUA